rnacentral:rRNA from 1 species
UACGUAGGGUGCGAGCGUUAAUCGGAAUUACUGGGCGUAAAGCGUGCGCAGGCGGUUUUGUAAGCCAGAUGUGAAAUCCCCGGGCUCAACCUGGGAAUGGCAUUGGGACUGCAAGGCUGGAGUGCGGCAGAGGAGACUGGAAUUCCUGGUGUAGCAGUGAAAUGCGUAGAUAUCAGGAGGAAUACCGAUGGCGAAGGCAGGUCUCUGGGCUGACACUGACGCUGAGACGCGAAAGCGUGGGGAGCGAACAGG